GGCGACGAUCCGUAACUGGUCUGAGAGGAUGAUCAGUCACACUGGAACUGAGACACGGUCCAGACUCCUACGGGAGGCAGCAGUGGGGAAUAUUGGACAAUGGGCGAAAGCCUGAUCCAGCCAUGCCGCGUGUGUGAAGAAGGUCUUCGGAUUGUAAAGCACUUUAAGUUGGGAGGAAGGGCAGUAAGUUAAUACCUUGCUGUUUUGACGUUACCAACAGAAUAAGCACCGGCUAACUUCGUGCCAGCAGCCGCGGUAAUACGAAGGGUGCAAGCGUUAAUCGGAAUUACUGGGCGUAAAGCGCGCGUAGGUGGUUCAGCAAGUUGGAUGUGAAAUCCCCGGGCUCAACCUGGGAACUGCAUCCAAAACUACUGAGCUAGAGUACGGUAGAGGGUGGUGGAAUUUCCUGUGUAGCGGUGA
rnacentral:rRNA from 4 species